CGGAGGGUGAGGAGGAUGGCGGAGGGAGAGGAGGAUGGCGGAGGGAGAGGAGGAUGGCAGAGGGAGAGGAAGAUGGCAGAGGGAGAGGGGGAUGGCGGAGGGAGAGGAGGAUGGCAGAGGGAGAGGAGGUUGGCGGAGGGAGAGGAGGAUGGCGGAGGGAGAGGAGGAUGGCGGAGGGAGAGGAGGAUGGCGGAGGGAAUGGCGGAGGGAGAGGAGGAUGGCGGAGGGAGAGGAGGAUGGCAGAGGGAGAGGAGGCUGGCAGAGGGAGAGGAGGAUGGCAGAGGGAGAGGAGGAUGGCGGAGGGAGAGGAGGAUGGCGGAGGGAGAGGAGGAUGGCAGAUGGAGAGGAGGAUGGCAGAGAGGGGAGGAGGAUGGCGGAGGGAGAUGAGGAUGGCGGAGGGAGAGGAGGAUGGCGGAGGGAGGGGAGGAUGGCGGAGGGAGAGGAGUGAACAUUAAUGGUGGCUAAAAGCAGACCGCUUGACAGUGGCUCUUCACUCUCUCUCUCU
ensembl:lncRNA